CGGCAGCACGGGAGCAAUCCUGGUGGCGAGUGGCGAACGGGUGAGUAAUACAUCGGAACGUGUCCUGUAGUGGGGGAUAGCCCGGCGAAAGCCGGAUUAAUACCGCAUACGCUCUACGGAGGAAAGGGGGGGAUCUUAGGACCUCUCGUUAUAGGGGCGGCCGAUGGCAGAUUAGCUAGUUGGUGGGGUAAAGGCCUACCAAGGCGACGAUCUGUAGCUGGUCUGAGAGGACGACCAGCCACACUGGGACUGAGACACGGCCCAGACUCCUACGGGAGGCAGCAGUGGGGAAUUUUGGACAAUGGGGGAAACCCUGAUCCAGCAAUGCCGCGUGUGUGAAGAAGGCCUUCGGGUUGUAAAGCACUUUUGUCCGGAAAGAAAUCCUCUGUCCUAAUACGGCGGGGGGAUGACGGUACCGGAAGAAUAAGCACCGGCUAACUACGUGCCAGCAGCCGCGGUAAUACGUAGGGUGCAAGCGUUAAUCGGAAUUACUGGGCGUAAAGCGUGCGCAGGCGGUUCGCUAAGACAGAUGUGAAAUCCCCGGGCUUAACCUG
rnacentral:rRNA from 1 species